rnacentral:misc_RNA from 1 species
UACGGAGGGUGCGAGCGUUAAUCGGAAUUACUGGGCGUAAAGCGCGCGCAGGCGGCGUGAUAAGCCGGUUGUGAAAGCUGCGGGCUCAACCUGGGAACGGCAUCUGGAACUGUGAGGCUAGCGUGCAGGAGAGGAAGGUAGAAUUCCCGGUGUAGCGGUGAAAUGCGUAGAGAUCGGGAGGAAUACCAGUGGCGAAGGCGGCCUUCUGGACUGACACUGACGCUGAGGUGCGAAAGCGUGGGUAGCAAACAGG